rnacentral:rRNA from 1 species
UGGGGGAUAUUGCACAAUGGGCGAAAGCAUGAUGCAGCGACGCCGCGUGGGGGAUGAAGGCUUUCGGGUGGGAAACCGCUUGCGCUAUCGAACAAGGCCCGCUUAGGGUGGGGUGAGGGUAGGUGGAGAAGAAGGGCGGGCUAACUACGGGCCAGCAGCCGCGGGAAUACGUAGGGGGCGAGCGUUGGCGGGAAUUAUUGGGCGUAAAGGGCUUGUAGGCGGCUGGUUGCGCCUGCUGUGAAAACGCGGGGCUUAACUUCGCGCGUGCCGUGGGUACGGGCAGGCUUGAGUGUGGUAGGGUUGACUGGAAUUCCAGGUGUAGCGGUGGAAUGCGCAGAUAUCUGGAGGAACACCGAUGGCGAAGGCAGGUCACUGGGCCAUUACUGACGCUGAGGAGCGAAAGCAUGGGUAUCGAACAGG